ACCAGGGUGCCUGGAAACAAACUCAGAUCCUCUGAAGAGCACUGUGAUCUCUUAACCACUGAGCCAUCUCUUUGGCCACAUUUAUCAACAUUUUAAAUACAGGCAGGAGCUGACCCUGUACCUGCACAGCUUACCUGGCUUCCCUACCCUGGGAGGAAGCAGGCCUGGAAGGAUGCUGGUCUCCCACUCUCCACCACAAAUAAUAAAGCCUGUAAGUUGUUUGAUGCCACCUUGACCUAGGUAUGACUGCCAAGAGACAGCUCCCCCUCUGCCCAUCCCCAUCGGUCCCCUUCCCAAGGUCAUCAGUGUGGGGUGGACAGCAGUGAAUGCCCCAAGAGGGUCUUGGAGUGCUCAGGCUUUGUCAGUGUCUUGCUGUGGCCUACUGAGGGUUUGCUGUGGGAUUGGACAUGAGUGCAUGGGAUCCUGGGGCUCACCUGGCUUUAGCCAGGCCAAAACCUUCUACACAUUUCUAGGUACUUCCACACCUGUGAAGGAUCCUGAAGUUCCUGAACUUGAGAGCUCAAGACCUGCCUUGCUGAGUAACUUCACUGGGUCUUUGGACCUGCUUGUCUGCUCUGCAUCUAACACCAGCCCACCUGCCCUGCCUGCACCUUGUUGACCCCACACCCCACAUUCCUUGAUUCAGCAGCAACCAUUGGCAUUUAAAAAAAGAUUUGAAAUAAAAAUACCAGUAAUUAAAAAUA